GGGGACAUAGUGAGGUGUGACCAGAAGACAAGAGUGCGAGCCUUCUGUUAUGCCCGGACAGGGCCACCAGAGGGCUCCUUGGUCUAGCGGUGAUGCCAGCGUCUGGGAAGAUGCCUGUUACCAGGCGGACCGUGGUCCAGCGGUAGCAAAAGGUGUCAAGGAACAACACCCGCUACUUAGCAGACCGGGAAAGCGGGUCUCCCUUUACCCGGGGGAGUUUAGAGAAGACUCUGCUCCUCCACCUCUUGUGGAGGGCCUGGCAUUAGUCAGGCUCGCCUGCAGUUAUCCAGAGGCCUAACCGUCUCCCUGUGAUGCUGUGCUUCAGUGGUCACGCUCCUAGUCUGCCUUCAUGUUC
rnacentral:lncRNA from 10 species